CGGAGCGUGGCGCAGUCUGGUAGCGCACUACACUGGGGGUGUAGGGGUCGUGGGUUCAAAUCCCGCCGCUCCGACCA
rnacentral:tRNA from 1 species